rnacentral:rRNA from 1 species
UACGUAGGGUGCGAGCGUUAAUCGGAAUUACUGGGCGUAAAGCGUGCGCAGGCGGUUUUGUAAGACCGGUGUGAAAUCCCCGGGCUUAACCUGGGAACUGCAUUUGUGACUGCAUAGCUAGAGUACGGUAGAGGGGGAUGGAAUUCCGCGUGUAGCAGUGAAAUGCGUAGAUAUGCGGAGGAACACCGAUGGCGAAGGCAAUCCCCUGGACCUGUACUGACGCUCAUGCACGAAAGCGUGGGGAGCAAACAGG